ACAUAGGUAGGAUAAUCCUUACCUGUUCCUCUUUUUGGAGGGCAGAUUAGAACAUGAUGAUUGGAGUUCCCAUGAUACGUGAUUAACAUCUCUGUAUAAUCAAAACUUGCAACACCGUGAUUGCUUCCAAUUCUUCCUGAC